AAGCAGAGGGGGCUUAGUGGUGGGGUGACUGCGUACCUUUUGUAUAAUGGGUCAGCGACUUAUAUUCUGUAGCAAGGUUAACCGAAUAGGGGAGCCGGAGGGAAACCGAGUCUUAACCGGGCGUUAAGUUGCAGGGUAUAGACCCGAAACCCGGUGAUCUAGCCAUGGGCAGGUUGAAGGUUGGGUAACACUAACUGGAGGACCGAACCGACUAAUGUUGAAAAAUUAGCGGAUGACCUGUGGCUGGGGGUGAAAGGCCAAUCAAACCGGGAGAUAGCUGGUUCUCCCCGAAAGCUAUUUAGGUAGCGCCUCGUGAAUUCAUCUCCGGGGGUAGAGCACUGUUUCGGCUAGGGGGCCAUCCCGGCUUACCAACCCGAUGCAAACUGCGAAUACCGGAGAAUGUUAUCACGGGAGACACACGGCGGGUGCUAACGUCCGUCGUGAAGAGGGAAACAACCCAGACCGCCAGCUAAGGUCCCAAAGUCAUGGUUAAGUGGGAAACGAUGUGGGAAGGCCCAGACAGCCAGGAUGUUGGCUUAGAAGCAGCCAUCAUUUAAAGAAAGCGUAAUAGCUCACUGGUCGAGUCGGCCUGCGCGGAAGAUGUAACGGGGCUAAACCAUGCACCGAAGCUGCGGCAGCGAACGUAUCACUUAAAGCGAUUCAGCGGGUUACGAUUGACGGAGCGAAGCGACGUCAAAGCGUAUACAAAGUCGAGUCGGUUUAAGGAUACGUUCGUUGGGUAGGGGAGCGUUCUGUA
rnacentral:rRNA from 1 species